rnacentral:rRNA from 1 species
GAGUUUGAUCUUGGCUCAGAUUGAACGCUGGCGGCAUGCCUUACACAUGCAAGUCGAACGGCAGCACGGGAGCUUGCUCCUGGUGGCGAGUGGCGAACGGGUGAGUAAUGCAUCGGAACGUAUCCUGGAGUGGGGGGAUAACGUAGCGAAAGUUACGCUAAUACCGCAUAUUCUGUGAGCAGGAAAGCGGGGGACCUUCGGGCCUCGCGCUCUUGGAGCGGCCGAUGUCGGAUUAGCUAGUUGGUGAGGUAAAGGCUCACCAAGGCGACGAUCCGUAGCAGGUCUGAGAGGAUGAUCUGCCACACUGGAACUGAGACACGGUCCAGACUCCUACGGGAGGCAGCAGUGGGAAUUUGGACAAUGGGGGCAACCCUGAUCCAGCCAUGCCGCGUGAGUGAAGAAGGCCU